rnacentral:rRNA from 1 species
UCUUGGACAAUGGAUGGAAAUCUGAUCCAGCCAUGCCGCGGUGCAGGUAGCCGGCCCUAUGGGUCGUAAACUGCUUUUGUAUGGGAGCAAUAAGGGCUACGUGUAGUCCGAUGAGAGUACCAUACGAAUAAGCACCGGCUAACUCCGUGCCAGCAGCCGCGGUA